rnacentral:snoRNA from 1 species
ACUCCAUGAUGAAUGUACAAUGACAAGCAUAUGACUGAAGUCUAAGUGAUGUCAUCUUAGUACUGAAAAAUGGGCCAGAGGGAGAGAGGAGU